GAUGAACGCUGGCGGCGUGCCUAAUACAUGCAAGUAGAACGCUGAAGGAAGGAGCUUGCUCUUUCCGGAUGAGUUGCGAACGGGUGAGUAACGCGUAGGUAACCUGCCUGGUAGCGGGGGAUAACUAUUGGAAACGAUAGCUAAUACCGCAUAACAGUAGAUGUUGCAUGAUAUCUACUUAAAAGGUGCAAUUGCACCACUACCAGAUGGACCUGCGUUGUAUUAGCUAGUUGGUGAGGUAACGGCUCACCAAGGCGACGAUACAUAGCCGACCUGAGAGGGUGAUCGGCCACAAUGGGACUGAGACACGGCCCAGACUCCUACGGGAGGCAGCAGUAGGGAAUCUUCGGCAAUGGACGGAAGUCUGACCGAGCAACGCCGCGUGAGGGAAGAAGGUUUUCGGAUCGUAAAGCUCUGUUGUAAGAGAAGAACGAGUGUGAGAGUGGAAAGUUCACACUGUGACGGUAUCUUACCAGAAAGGGACGGCUAACUACGUG
rnacentral:rRNA from 1 species